UACGAAGGGGGCUAGCGUUGUUCGGAAUUACUGGGCGUAAAGCGCGCGCAGGCGGUUUUUCAAGUCAGUGGUGAAAGCCCGGAGCUCAACUCCGGAAAUGCCAUUGAAACUGUUAAACUUGAGGAUGAGAGAGGUGAGUGGAAUUCCCAGUGUAGAGGUGAAAUUCGUAGAUAUUGGGAAGAACACCGGUGGCGAAGGCGGCUCACUGGCUCAUUACUGACGCUCAGGCGCGACAGCGUGGGGAUCAAACAGG
rnacentral:rRNA from 1 species